rnacentral:piRNA from 1 species
UUAGUGGCCCUGCUAGAGAGACUU